rnacentral:rRNA from 1 species
UGGCGGCAGGCCUACAAACAUGCAAGUCGUAGGGGUGUAGCAAUACAUCACCGGCGGACGGGUGCGUAACGCGUGGGAAUAUACCUAUCGAUUCGGAACAACUGAGGGAAACUUCAGCUAAUACCGAAUACGUCCUAACGGAGAAAAGAUUUAUCGUCGAUAGAUUAGCCCGCGUUCGAUUAGCUAGUUGGUGGGGUAACGGCCCACCAAGGCGACGAUCGAUAGCUGUUCUGAGAGGAAGAUCAGCCACACUGGGACUGAGACACGGCCCAGACUCCUACGGGAGGCAGCAGUUGGGAAUCUUGGACAAUGGGGGAAACCCUGAUCCAGCCAUGCCGCGUGAGUGAUGAAGGCCUUCGGGUUGUAAAACUCUUUCGCGCACGACGAUAAUGACGGUAGUGCGAGAAGAAGCUCCGGCUAACUUCGUG